GAAAUACUCCCUCCGUUCGGAAUUACUUGUCUCGGAAAUGGAUGUAUCUAGAACUAAAAUGCAUCUAGAUACAUCCAUUUCUGUGACAAGUAAUUCCGAACGGAGGGAGUACUUC
rnacentral:pre_miRNA from 1 species